GAGGGUGUAGCUCAGUAGCAGAGCAUGUAUUUAGCACUCAUGAGGUCCUGGGUUCAAUCCCCAGUCCCUCCA
rnacentral:tRNA from 1 species